rnacentral:rRNA from 1 species
GACGAACGCUGGCGGCGUGCUUAACACAUGCAAGUCGAACGGAAAGGCCCUGCUUUUGUGGGGUGCUCGAGUGGCGAACGGGUGAGUAACACGUGAGUAACCUGCCCUUGACUUUGGGAUAACUUCAGGAAACUGGGGCUAAUACCGGAUAGGAGCUCCUGCUGCAUGGUGGGGGUUGGAAAGUUUCGGCGGUUGGGGAUGGACUCGCGGCUUAUCAGCUGGUUGGUGGGGUAGUGGCUUACCAAGGCUUUGACGGGUAGCCGGCCUGAGAGGGUGACCGGCCACAUUGGGACUGAGAUACGGCCCAGACUCCUACGGGAGGCAGCAGUGGGGAAUAUUGCACAAUGGGCGGAAGCCUGAUGCAGCAACGCCGCGUGCGGGAUGACGGCCUUCGGGUUGUAAACCGCUUUCGCCUGUGACGAAGCGUGAGUGACGGUAAUGGGUAAAGAAGCACCGGCUAACUACGU